rnacentral:rRNA from 1 species
UACGGGGGGGGCAAGCGUUGUUCGGAAUUACUGGGCGUAAAGGGCGCGUAGGCGGCCCUCUAAGUCGGAAGUGAAAUCCCUCGGCUCAACCGGGGAACUGCGUCCGAUACUGGAGGGCUUGAAUCCGGGAGAGGGAUGUGGAAUUCCAGGUGUAGCGGUGAAAUGCGUAGAUAUCUGGAGGAACACCGGUGGCGAAGGCGGCAUCCUGGACCGGUAUUGACGCUGAGACGCGAAAGCGUGGGGAGCAAACAGG